ensembl:lncRNA
GGAGUCUCAGAAACACCAACAUUGAUAAAAGUGAUUUUCUGUAACUAAAACCAUUCCACAUUGUAGAGGUAGCGCCUCGUUUAUCGAUAAACUCCUCCUCGGCUUCACGUCCACCUUCCGCCAUACUCCUGUUCGCUCUGCACGUGAGCUGCGAACGGGUCUCGCACACCAAUACCUCAUCGACUGGGCUUCAUCGUUAUUAUCGUGCGUAGACUAAUUCUUACUGCAGGGAGAAUUUCUACCGGUAUAUCGCAAACGAUAAGAUAUCACUCAUCCCUAGUUAGAAUGGGCGUUUGGCAGAAUUACGAAUUAAAUUCCUGAUCAAACAUCACACAACUUCCAAUAAUGAUAGCUGCAGAGUAUAACGUGAUCUCGUGUAUUCUCCUCGGAGGGAGGGAAGGAAGGAAUACACUGACAAUAUGAUGUACAGUUACACAUGUAUUUCCACUUCCCGUGUUAGUCACGUGUAAAAUUACACACUUGCCAUUACUGCUGCACUCCACGCCAUACUGUGUGCAAGAGAUAGAUAGAGAUACACAGAGAUAGAUAUAUAGAGAGAGAUACAGAGACAUAGAUAGAUAGAGAGAGAAACACAGAGAGAGAUAAAGAAAGACUGUCUCUCCCAGCAGUGCGACUGCUAACCCUCUCCUCCUACACUUUGCUCGACUGUGCCUAUUUUCGACUGUUUCGUUCUACGCUCCCGCCCUUCGCUUCAGCAGAAAGUCCUGGCUCCGGUUACACCAUGCAGCCUGACUUCUCAGACAUAAUGUACUUUUUAAAAUAGAAUACACAAAUUCUGCAAGGUCUUUUUAUUCUCUCCUUCCCUUCUUUUUUAGAAAGAGACACGCUCGAGAUGAGAUUCACCGCAGCAUCGGAUAAACUACAUUACUACUCAUCCUUAAUCUCAGACCUAGCGCUCGAACGAUGGUUAGGACGGACGGGGGGCGCUAAAUUCAGCUGCAAUUAUUCUGGGCUAGGAAACAACAAUCGUGACUGACCCAGUUGGGCUAUUUACACAAAAUCUUACAGCAUUAUAUUUCUCACAUGUGAUCUAAAGAGUGGAGUGGAGUUUUGUUUUUUUUGCUCGGUAGCAAAAAUUUCAGAAAUACAGGUCGAGAGUUUCACUUAAAUGUUCACGUCAAACAUCAAAACGAAGAAAAAAAUGUGAUCUCUGUGACUUUAUCCACGGCAUGGUUCUCUGGUUGCCAGAUGGGCUGGUUUGAGUAUUUCAGAAACUGCUGAUCUCCUGGGAUUUUCCCAUACAGCAGUCUCCGGCGAGUGGAGCGUCUGCAGGAAGAAACACCCUGAUGAUGAGAGAGAAUGGUCCGAGUUGACGGGAAUUCUAGAGUAACUCAAAUAAGCACUCUUUGCAACCACGGUGAACAGAAAAGCAUCUCAGAACACACCAAACCGUGAGGUGGAUGAGCUACAACAGCACAAGACCACAUCAGGUUCCACUCCUGAUAGCCUCAGGUUCCUGUUCUUGGCUGAUAGGAGAGGAACGCAGUGUUUUGUGCAUGCUGAGAUGCUUUUCCGAUCACCAUGGUUGUAAAGAGUGACUAUAUGAGUCAUUAUAUCCUUCCAGGCAGCUUGAACCAGUCUGGUCAUUUUUCUCCGACCUCUCUCAUCAACCAGGCGUUUCCACCCACAGAACUGUCGCUCGCUCUGUGCUUUUUGUUUUUUGCACCAUUCUGUGUAGACCCUAGAGAAAUACCUGAAAUACUCAUACCAGCCCUGGCAAGAAAAAGAAAAAAAAAAAAGAAAAAAAACCCACCAUGCCACGGUUAAAUUUUCCCCAUCGUGAACAUUACCUGAAGUGCUUGUUCUGUUUGAUUCUCCACACUGUGCUGCUGCUGCAUGAUUGGCUGAUUAGAUAACUGCACGAAUGAGCAGGUGUACACGUGUUCCUCUUAAAGUGGACAGGGAGUCUACACUGGCAUGCAGACGGAUUUCCAUACCAAACUAGUGGAUUCUCCUCAGAGCUUAGGGGUUUUUGUUUUUUCCAAGUGAGUACGUGUUAACGUCAGUCGGGACAGUCAUGCCAACAGACUCGAAUUUUCUUCCUGCAAUUAUAGUCACAAAAGAUGAGUUCAAAACAAGGUGACGGCGCAUCCUUGGCACAUCACAGAGGGAAAAAUACAUAUUCAAAUGAAACCGUCAUACAUGUUACAUACAUACACUUACAGUUGCAUGGUCAAUUUAGCACUUAUGUAAGCAAUAGCACACAAUGGACUCCGCCAUUAUAUGAAAAUAUUAUACUCCGGGAUGGCGUGAUGCACUCCGGGAUUGUAUGCUACGCUUCAGGUCAUAUUAUGCAUACAUAAAUACUGAUGUGUCGCCGUGGACAAUGUUUCAUUUCUUAAAAAACAACAACACGUCAGGUUUUCAGCAGUUUAUAGUUAAUGAGACAAGAACUCCUUCUCAGGAACUCGUCCAAAAUGACGUCAUUCCCAGUUCCAGCCUCCCACUCCCAAAGCUAGUCAAACGCAGCAAUAACAACAACAACAACAACAACAACAACAACAAUAAACAGUUCAUCGGUCACGCCGGGAUUUUGCGAUCGCUGAAAUUUACACAAACCCAAGGAAACUCCAUAAUAUUUUUAGGAGCUUGCAAUUUUUCAAAAUUACAACAGAUUUUCUGCAGAUUUGGGUGAAGGUGCGACGUCAUCACAACGCGCAUUCAGCCAGAACCCUUUUCAAGUCACAUGCAUUGAACAUUAUUACAGCUAAAAGGUCUCAUUUACCCAAUAACCAUCACUGUGAAAGGCAAUUUCGUGCAAUUCAAUAGUUUUCCACACAAAAAAAAAGCACAAAAACUCUGCAAACUGUAUCACAAAUUUUGAAAAAACCCGCAGCAAAAUCAAGCAUUUUUGGCUGCAACGAUCACAAAAAAAUAUUAAUAAACUCUGUGAAAUCCUGUAUGGACAGAGUUAAUAGGACUAAAAAAAAUUUUUAAAAAAGGAUGGCAUUUUACAAAACUAAGUGGAAAGUGGAAAAUCCACUCUCCGGAAGACUUUCCUGUGAUGAGAAACUACAGAAAGCACUGUGACUGUUACGAAGCUCCGACACCCGACGCUCUGUUUACAUGGACAGCGGUGAUCUAAUUACUGACCUUACUCUGAGUAAGACUAUAUUGUGAUUAAGGUGUUUACAUGAGUCGCGUUUAGAAUACUCCUUCCAUGUUCAGGUUUUACAUGCUAUAGAUCAUGGAGCGAUUAAAAUCACACGUCAUUACGUCCCCACGCCACACCGUUCCCUCCAGAAUUUCACGUCCACAUACAGUCGGUCUUCGUUAUGGUCCCGUAUACAGUUUCGGGUGUUUCAUUUUAAAUUCUACGGACGCUUCAAGUGCGGUUAAUUAUUUGUCAUGCUGUACGUGCAAAUAGACGACUGCUUGAAGCUGUGGGCUGCGUCCCAAACCGCGUACUUACCUACUAUAUAGUAGCCGAGAUACGUGUACUUACCUACUAUAUAGUAGCCGAGAUACGUGUACUUACC